CAGAGUAUAGCUAAGAUAGAAUAGCCCCUCCCUUACACUGAGAAGUCACCCAUGCAAAUCGGGUUACCCUGA
rnacentral:tRNA from 1 species